rnacentral:tRNA from 1 species
UGUGGCUCAAGGGUAGAGCACUUGCUUUGUAAGUGUGAGGGCCUGGGUUGAAGCCCCAGCA